UUCAGCCGAAGUCUGAGGACCUUGUAGCUUUUGUCCGUUCAGCAUCUCAUUCUCCAAUUGCUCUAUGGACUAGAAGAGAGGAGACUGAUUACUUGCGUCCGAGGAAAUAAUGCUGCAACACCAGCAGUUACUGAGAAGAUUGGAAAGCUGGCAUGUGAACUACGUGUUUUGUCCGUGCUCACUCAAUCCUACAGUGGUAGAACUAACAUUAGACCAUGUGGCUUACAGAAGACUCAGUGAGCACAAUCAAGGCCUGAGCUGAGGAGGAAUUAUGGCUCGCUAUUGUAAAUAUGUAUUAAUAAGAAAAGUUAUUUUUACACAUAAACACUAAGACUUGAGAUCUAAAUUCACUUUCCAGGUUGUGCUGUAGCCUUCUUUAGUGAGAGCCUUCUUUAGUGAGAUUUUUACCCACUUCUAAUCUACAAGAUGGUAAUAACUUUCCCCACUUACACCCAGCAUCACCUAUCCAUUUUUCUUUCUUUCCUUGGACCAGAACUUUCUGAAAGCAGAGACUUCUUUUUGCUAUUUAUUUACAGGGCACUUAGGAGAGUAAAAAGGGGCUUCAGUCUCAGUGGAGCCCUAACAUUCUCUUUCACUCUGAAAAACUGAAGACAAACCGAAAAAGUCUGCAAUAUAGAAAUGUUUAGCAGAUGUACAGAAUGUGCACCAGGGUGGCUUUUUGGGGGUGGUGGUUUAUAGUCUGUGACUGUACCAAAUUUUUGUAAUCUUCUGUUGAAAGAUGCAGGCUCCAGCUCUAACUUCUGAAAUCC